GAUGAACGCUGGCGGCGUGCCUAAUACAUGCAAGUCGAGCGAACAGACGAGGAGCUUGCUCCUCUGACGUUAGCGGCGGACGGGUGAGUAACACGUGGAUAACCUACCUAUAAGACUGGGAUAACUUCGGGAAACCGGAGCUAAUACCGGAUAAUAUAUUGAACCGCAUGGUUCAAUAGUGAAAGACGGUUUUGCUGUCACUUAUAGAUGGAUCCGCGCCGCAUUAGCUAGUUGGUAAGGUAACGGCUUACCAAGGCGACGAUGCGUAGCCGACCUGAGAGGGUGAUCGGCCACACUGGAACUGAGACACGGUCCAGACUCCUACGGGAGGCAGCAGUAGGGAAUCUUCCGCAAUGGGCGAAAGCUUGACGGAGCAACGCCGCGUGAGUGAUGAAGGUCUUCGGAUCGUAAAACUCUGUUAUUAGGGAAGAACAAAUGUGUAAGUAACUCUGCACGUCUUGACGGUACCUAAUCAGAAAGCCACGGCUAACUACGUG
rnacentral:rRNA from 1 species